CAGUGGCGAACGGGUGAGUAACACUGUGAGCAUCUGCCUCCGGGUCGGGGACAGCCCGCGGAAACGCGGAUUAAUACCCGACGGUCCCUUCGGGGCAAAGAGGAAUCGCCCGGAGAUGAGCUCGCGGGCCAUCAGCUUGUUGGCGGUGUAACGGGCCACCAAUGCGACGACGGGUAAGUGGUCUGAAAAGAUGGUCACCCACACUGGGACUGAGACACUGGCCAGACUCCUACGGGAGGCUGCAGUCGAGAAUCAUCCGCAAUGGGCGACAGCCUGACGGUGCAAUGCCGCGUGGGCGAUGAACGCCUUCGGGUCGUAAACCCCUGUCAGAAUGGACGAAGCAAGUGACGGUACCUUCAGAUGGAAGCCACGUGAUAACUACGUGCCAACAGCCGCGGUAACACGAUAGGUGGCGAGCUGUUAUUCGGAUUUUCGUGGGCUUACACGGUCCCGCAGGGGGUUAGACAAUGUCCGGUGUGAAAGUCCAGGGUUAAAACCUGGAAAUUGUACAAGAUACUGGUGAACUGGACUGCCCGAAGGUCAGGCGGAAUUCCUGGUUUAGCGGUGAAAUGCGUGGAUAUCAGGAAGAACACCGGCGGUGAAAGCAGCAUGCUUGGCGCACCAUCUGACCGUCAUUGGACGAAAGCGUGGUUAGCGAACAGGAUUAGAUACCGUGGUAGUACACGCCGUAAACGGUCCAGACCCUAUGCGGGGGUCAAGCCCCCUCCGUGUCCAAGCCAACGCGUUAAGUCUGCCGCAUGGGGACUACGCUCGCAAGGCUAAAACUCUAAGGAAUUGACGCGGGCCCGCACAAACGCUGGAGCAUGUGGCUCAAUUCGAGACAACGCGAAGAACACUUACCCGGACUUGACAUAGAGCGACCGGCGUGGAAACACGCCUUUCCCUUUGGGGACGCGAAGACAGGUGCUGCAUGGCUGUCGUCAGCUCGUGCCGUGAGGUGUUCGGUUAAGUCCGGCAACGAGCGCAACCCGUAUUGUCAGUUGCCAUCAGGUAAAGCUGGGCACUAUGGCGAGACUGACCAUGUCAAGCGGGAGGAAGGCUCGGAUGACGUCAAGUCCGUAUGGCCAUU
rnacentral:rRNA from 1 species